rnacentral:rRNA from 1 species
GGGCGGGGGGGGGGCACGGGGGGAACGCGAAGAACCUUACCAGGCCUUGACAUCCAAUGAACUUUCCAGAGAUGGAUUGGUGCCUUCGGGAACAUUGAGACAGGUGCUGCAUGGCUGUCGUCAGCUCGUGUUGUGAGAUGUUGGGUUAAGUCCCGUAACGAGCGCAACCCUUGUCCUUAGUUACCAGCACAUUCGGGUGGGAACUCUAAGGAGACUGCCGGUGACAAACCGGAGGAAGGUGGGGAUGACGUCAAGUCAUCAUGGCCCUUACGGCGUGGGCUACACACGUGCUACAAUGGUCGGUACAGAGGGUAGCCAAGCCGCGAGGGCAAGCGGACCUAAAAAAGCGCGUCGUAGUCCGGAUUGGAGUCUGCAACUCGACUCCAUGAAGUCGGAAUCGCUAGUAAUCGUA